UUGAAACGCCUGUUCCCGUACGAUCACGUAGUUAAGCAACGUUGAGACUGAUUAGUACUUAGAUGGGUGACCACUUGGGAAUAUUAGGUGCUGUAAU